CCAUUUGUGCUUUUAUCUAAAUGUGCCAUGAACAUGAUCCACUACAUUACUCCUGGCAAAGUAAAUCCAUUUAAAUCAACUAAAUUAAAUGCAGUUCCUGAGAUUAAGUUGAAAGGCAAUUAUUCCAGUUUUGGAGCAGCUUGGAUUUUCCCUGUAUGAAGCACCUCUGUGGCAAGGCCAAACACAGACAGGCAGGUAAAGGGCUGGAUCCUGGAUUGAUAACUUCUCAGUGAAUAUACUUCAUUGCAGUCACAUGUAUGCAGCAGUUCUAUGGCAAAGAGCCAGCUGAUCGCCCCAGACUAAAUCACAUAGCAUCAACAUUGCCUCUUCUCUCCAAAUUACAGGGCAAACAAUAACAGGUAAAAUUAGCUAAGGCACUAAUUAUACAGCACAAGUGUGUAAAGGAUGUA